UCGAGAAUAAUUCGCAAUGGGCGAAAGCCUGACGAUGCGACGCCGUGUGAACGAUGAAGGCCUUCGGGUUGUAAAGUUCUGUCACUUGUGAACAAGGUUACUGUGUGAAUAACAUAGUAAUUUGAGUGUAACAGGAGAGGAAGCACCGGCUAACUCCGUGCCAGCAGCUGCGGUAAUACGGAGGGUGCAAGCGUUAGUCGGAAUUACUGGGCGUAAAGGGUGCGUAGGCGGGGAUAUAAGUCAGAUGUGAAAAACCGAAGCUCAACUUCGGCAGUGCAUCUGAAACUGUAUUUCUAGAGGGAGAGCGGAGAAAACGGAAUUCCACGUGUAGCGGUGAAAUGCGUAGAUAUGUGGAAGAACACCUGUGGCGAAAGCGGUUUUCUAGCUUACCCCUGACGCUGAGGCACGAAAGCAAGGGGAGCAAACAGGAUUAGAUACCCCCGUAGUCC
rnacentral:rRNA from 1 species